UACCGGUUCCCGUACGAUCAGGGAAUUUAAGCAACAUCGAGUCUGGUCAGUACUUCGAUGGGUGAACACUUGGGAAUAAAAGCUGCUGUAA